CACCGCCACAGGGAUUCCCAUAUUCAGUCAUUUGUCCAUGUUUUGUAGAGGGAUCCUCUGUUUUCUUCAUGGAGCGGGACCUGCUUAUGUGACCGUUGGCACAGACAGUCUGGGCAGCUGACCAAAGAGCAUUUAAUUCAUAACAUAUACAACAGUUUAAUUCUAUUCUUCCUCCUAACAUGUCAGUCAUGUUGACUUCUUAGAAACACUCUUGGGCUCCUGCUUUAGGAGGAAAAGCUCAGCUGCACUCGGACAGUUUUUCGCUGGGACUCAGAAUAAUGCUGCUUUGGACCACUCUGUACAAGGUAUCUGAUAGUUGAAAACCAGGUGACUGACCCACUUGCUUUGAGCAGUUUCAUGGGCGCUUUCGUAAUUGGUAUUUGGUGUUCCUCUUAUUCAGAGACCUGUGACAACUUUGCUUGGUGCACUGUUCCAAAGGCUCUGCAGUAAAUGGUUGGCUUGCCUGUAACUCCCCCCCCCCAGUGGAUGUGGUGGUGUAAGGAGUGUUCAGUAGUCGUUUCAAGCUGAUGAUGAAGCCUUCCAAGGAUCCAUUGAGGACACCAUGGUAGGAAUAAUACAUUGUCAGACCAGGAGAGGCCACCAGUAAACCAGAGGACAUCGGGGUUGUCCUUGAAGGCCAGAUGGUACUGCAGGAUCUGGACAAUGUUACUUUUGGUGUUGCAAUGUUGUUGGGCUUAAUGUAUGCUUUGAACCUCAGCUGCCCCACUGAACUGAAGUAUACCUUUGAAGUGCUCCAGAAAGUUGUGAUGGAGCUCGACAGUGACACUCUCUAAGAAAGCCCAAGUUCUUAAAAAAAACUGUAUCAGUGAGCUGUUGCCAGAUAUGACGUGGGUGAGACAACAGUUCACCGUGUUUGGUCCUUUGGAUACAGAACAUUGUUGCUCUUUGGUUGCAUUGAUGAUGCUUUGUACACUGACAGAACUCACUUGCACUGCCUUUAUAUUUGCUACAUCAUAUUUAGUUUAAAAAUGGGGAGCCUUGCGUGGAGCAUUGCUUAGCUUUAACACUUCUGGACCCCAGUCUACCAUGUUAGUCCGUUGGAAUAUGGACUGUUUAUUGCACUAGUACUGGAAUGAAAUGUUGCAACUCACAUAUUGCCACAUUACUUUCAUGUAUGUUUUUGGUAAUAUUUGUUUAUUACGUGUGCUUACAAAUUGGAUGUCAGAAGUGUUUGUGUUACUCUGACUGUUGUUUUUUUGCUCCACGCUCUUUAUAACAAUUGUUGAUAUUGUAAAGGGAAAGGCUACUUUGUUGUGAUUAUUGCCAUUUGUUUUUGUCCGCACAUACCCCAUUGUGAUGCAUUGUUACCUCCGCCAAGGAGGUUCUGUUUUUGC